GACGAACGCUGGCGGCGUGCUUAACACAUGCAAGUCGAACGGAAAGGCCCUGCUUUUGUGGGGUGCUCGAGUGGCGAACGGGUGAGUAACACGUGAGUAACCUUCCCUUGACUUUGGGAUAACUUCAGGAAACUUGGGCUAAUACCGGAUAGGAGCUCCUGCUGCAUGGUGGGGGUUGGAAAGUUUCGGCGGUUGGGGAUGGGCUCGCGGCUUAUCAGCUUGUUGGUGGGGUAGUGGCUUACCAAGCCUUUGACGGGUAGCAGGCCUGAGAGGGUGACCGGCAACAUUGGGACUGAGGUAAGGCCCAGACGCCUACGGGAGGCAGCAGUGGGGAAUAUUGCACAAUGGGCGGAAGACUGAUGCAGCAACGCCGCGUGCGGGAUGACGGCCUUCGGGUUGUAAACCGCUUUCGCCUGUGACGAAGAGUGAGUGACGGUAAUGGGUAAAGAAGCACCGGCUAACUACGUG
rnacentral:rRNA from 1 species